rnacentral:rRNA from 1 species
GACGAACGCUGGCGGCGUGCUUAACACAUGCAAGUCGAACGGAAAGGCCCUGCUUGCAGGGUGCUCGAGUGGCGAACGGGUGAGUAACACGUGGGUGAACUGCCCCUUACUUUGGGAUAAGCCUGGGAAACUGGGUCUAGUACUGGAUAGGACCAUGCUGUAGGUGGUGUGGUGGAAAGAUUAGUUUCGGUAAGGGAUGAGCUCACGGCCUAUCAGCUUGUUGGUGGGGUAAUGGCCUACCAAGGCGUCGACGGGUAGCCGGCCUGAGAGGGUGGACGGCCACAUUGGGACUGAGAUACGGCCCAGACUCCUACGGGAGGCAGCAGUGGGGAAUAUUGCACAAUGGGCGCAAGCCUGAUGCAGCGACGCCGCGUGGGGGAUGACGGCCUUCGGGUUGUAAACUCCUUUCAGCCAUGACGAAGCCCUUGUGGUGACGGUAGUGGUAGAAGAAGCACCGGCUAACUACGUG